UCCAUCGCGAAAGGAGAGUGCACACCACCGGACUGCAAAAGCAUUCUACAAAGUAACUGUAGCGAUCCGUGUAUCGGAUACUCUUGCCAAGAUGGACAGCCUAAGAAAGAAGAGUGUCCUAAAACAACCGAUCCAAAGUGUAGUUAUUCAUUUGCAGGAUAUGGUGAUUAUCCUGAUUGCUGUGGAGUAUUGAUGUGCAUUUGAGGGCUACAAAUGAAGUCGGCCCCCAGAAAUGCAGCAAUUUUUUCAAGGAACCUGCGCACAUACAGCAGAACUUUUGACUGUCGCAUCUGAGCGCGGCACGGGCGACUGUACUUACUGCAUAAAUUUGAGAAGUAAUC